GAUGAAGAACGUAGCGAAAUGCGAUAAGUAAUGUGAAUUGCAGAAUUCAGUGAAUCAUCGAAUCUUUGAACGCACAUUGCGCCCCUUGGUAUUCCAAAGGGCAUGCCUGUUCGAGCGUCAUUUGUACCCUCAAGCUUUGCUUGGUGUUGGGCGUCUUGUCUCUAGCUUUGCUGGAGACUCGCCUUAAAGUAAUUGGCAGCCGGCCUACUGGUUUCGGAGCGCAGCACAAGUCGCACUCUCUAUCAGCAAAGGUCUAGCAUCCAUUAAGCCUUUUUUUCAACUUUUGACCUCGGAUCAGGUAGGGAUACCCGCUGAACUUAAGCAUAUCAAUAAGCGGAGGA
rnacentral:misc_RNA from 1 species